rnacentral:rRNA from 1 species
UACGUAGGGUGCAAGCGUUGUCCGGAAUUAUUGGGCGUAAAGAGCUCGUAGGCGGUCCGUUGCGUCGGCUGUGAAAACCCGGGGCUCAACCCCGGGCCUGCAGCCGAUACGGGCAGACUAGAGUUCGGCAGGGGAGACUGGAAUUCCUGGUGUAGCGGUGAAAUGCGCAGAUAUCAGGAGGAACACCGGUGGCGAAGGCGGGUCUCUGGGCCGAUACUGACGCUGAGGAGCGAAAGCGUGGGGAGCGAACAGG